AUUGAACGCUGGCGGCAUGCCUUACACAUGCAAGUCGAACGGCAGCACGGGAGCAAUCCUGGUGGCGAGUGGCGAACGGGUGAGUAAAGUAUCGGAACGUGCCCAGUCGUGGGGGAUAACGUAGCGAAAGUUACGCUAAUACCGCAUACGAUCUAUGGAUGAAAGCGGGGGAUCGCAAGACCUCGCGCGAUUGGAGCGGCCGAUAUCAGAUUAGGUAGUUGGUGGGGUAAAGGCUCACCAAGCCGACGAGCUGUAGCUGGUCUGAGAGGACGGCAAGCCACACUGGGAGUGAGACACGGCCCAGACUCCUACGGGAGGCAGCAGUGGGGAAUUUUGGACAAUGGGCGAAAGCCUGAUCCAGCCAUGCCGCGCGCAGGAUGAAGGCCUUCGGGUUGUAAACUGCUUUUGUACGGAACGAAAAGGUUUGGCCUAAUAAGCUGAGCUCAUGACGGUACCGUAAGAAUAAGCACCGGCUAACUACGUGCCAGCCGCCGCCGUAA
rnacentral:rRNA from 1 species